GCCUGGGUGGCUCAGUUGGUUAAGCAUCAGACUUCGGCACAGGUCAUGAUCUCGCAGUUCAUGGGUUCGAGCCCCAUGUCAGGCU
rnacentral:tRNA from 1 species